rnacentral:lncRNA from 1 species
UUCACAGGGUUUCAAUACUCCCUGGAGAUUGAGAGACCAGGCUGGCACAGUGGGAUAAAGGCCCCAGAAGCAAGCACACUGUCAUGUAGAGAGAAAGUGGAGGAGCCGCUGUGGAGGGACAGUGAGUUAGAGCGGCCUGAGGAGGUGGGGUUGCAGCGGGCUACAGUCAGAAGCCUCGGCUGGGUCAGCUUAAGCGUGGGCUCAGUUGGUGACAGUGGGAAGAACGUGGCACAGUAGCUCAGGAGAGGCACAGAAAAGCCUUGGACUUAGAUCUGGACUAACAGACUGAACGGGCACCUCGGGUCUCAGUCUCGGUUUCCCUGUUUAUACAGAGGGUGUGGAGUCAAGUAGCCCAAGAUCUCCCACUCCCUGCCUCCCUUCGACGUGGUACAGCCACCCCCUCCCACCCCUAGAACUAUCCUUUGGAGGGUGUGUGAGAAUACAGAUAUAAGAAGACAGACACAUUUAGAUGGAAUCUUCCCAAGACUUAGGGCUAGGACCACCCACUUCCUCUUUCCCAUCCCUAUUUCUGGGAUCCCAGAGGGGCAGGGGUGGUGGAGGCGUUGCCUGUACUCGGCUGAGUGCGCAGUUUGAGCCUUAGGCUUGUCUCCAUGGGAACAGGGGUGCCUUGUCAGUGAGCUCAUCCACACAGAAGAGGGGGGUACAUGGGGAAACUUCAGGCCAUGUCUUCCCUGAACAAUCAGUCUCUAGUAGACCCUGCCCUUUUGCACCCGGGGCGGGAAGGUUGGCAGUGGAGGAGCCCAUCCUCCGUCUGUCCUGUAGCUCCUGCCGAGGGCUCAACUCUGGUCCUGCCUCCUGUUCUCAAUACACUCUGUCUCAAAUC